GGCAAAAAAGAAUCCAUCAUCGGUAAAGCCUUCAUACACUGUCCCAAAUGAUCCACUCCCAAGAAAGUCGCCCUUCUGCCAAGAUUUUAUACUGGGGGAACCAUUUGGAGAAACAGAAGGUAAAGGCUUUGAAAUCAAUGCAUAUGAAUCAUUACUCUGUGACUUAGAGCUCAUCUCCGAUAUAACGUCAUUGGAUUCACCGGUGGGUGACUUGGAGCUUGUCUUUGAUAUCAGGCUGUAAGAAUCAUCAAAAGGUGACUUCGAACUUUCAGCAGCAUCUAUUACAGCCUGCUCGAGUGGCUUUUCACAGGCUCCAUCAUUUUCUGCCCUCAAGACUGAGGAGUUGUUAUCUCUAUCAGUGGACAUUUCCGAAGAAGAUUCUGAUACUUGUGAAGCAUUUCUUACAAAAUCUUCACUACGCUCUUCGUUCUUAGCAAUCUCUUCUACUUGCUCGUUCACAAGUAUGUCAUCAGAAGUGCUCUCAUCAUGUAACGGUGAAACCAUAUCUUCAUCAUCGGCAGGACCAAAACUUUUGAUAAAAUCCCAAGCAGAUGUGAAAUCGUCCACAUCUGUCGGAGGAGCCAGCCUUGGUGGUCUGAAACCCUUAAUUCCACAUUUCACAUCCGUUGGCAAAUUAUCGUCCACUGAUUCACUAACCCUAACCUUAAUCAAAUUUUCAGGUGAUGAAUAUAAUAAGUGCUUCAAUUUACCGCCAACAAUACCCCUAGCACCAUUUCUAACCUCAUCAGCAGUCUCAAGCUCAUCCUCAGAACCGAAACAGUCAGAGUGAGAGCAUUCCGUCUCUACAUCCGAUUCACUAAUCGUCACCUCAUUCACAUUUUCAGGCAAAUUAUUUAACCGGCUGUUCGAUUCAGCGUCAACUGUAACCCUAACAACAGUUGUAACACUAUCAGGCAGUUCAUUCGCGUCGUCAAGCUUAGUAUCAGAGUCACGGCGGUCAUCCGAAAACCUGGUGCUGCGCAAUCUGUCAGAACGAGAGCAAUGUUUUCUAGCUUCCCACGCAGCUACCGGAAUCGCAAAGUCUUCAGGAGAAAGCCCUAGCGAGCGGCAAAUAGUGUCGAAUUCACCAGCAGCACCGUCGAUUCUGAAACUUGUCCGGUCAGGUACAGGAUAAAGGUCAAGCGACCUAGUCCGGUGAGCAGGUUGAUCUAUUAACGACGACGGCGAAGACGGAACCGACUGUGAAGCGUCGUAAUCAACGUUUUUUAGGGCAUUUGUCCGGUCAAGUCGAGGCCUUAACUUCUUCUGCUUCCCAUACAUCCCUCAAUUUUCAGUUUUCACACAUAGAGAUGGUGAGAAAGAUAGAGACUUUAAUUUUUACCUGAGAAAAAAAGAAGAGGAAUUCAGAAGAGACGGCGG
rnacentral:misc_RNA from 1 species